rnacentral:rRNA from 1 species
AGAUUUAACGAAAGUGGCGAACGGGUGAGUAACACGUGAGCAACCUGCCUUACACAGGGGAUAGCCAUUGGAAACGGUGAUUAAUACCCCAUAAGACCACAAUACCGCAUGGUAAAAGGGUAAAAGGGAUACCGGUGUAAGAUGGGCUCGCGUCUGAUUAGCUAGUUGGUGGGGUAAAGGCCUACCAAGGCGACGAUCAGUAGCCGGUCUGAGAGGAUGAACGGCCACAUUGGAACUGAGACACGGUCCAAACUCCUACGGGAGGCAGCAGCG